CCUAGGGUGGCAGCAGUGGGGAAUAUUGGACAAUGGGCGAAAGCCUGAUCCAGCCAUGCCGCGUGUGUGAAGAAGGCCUUCGGGUUGUAAAGCACUUUCAGUGGGGAAGAAAGCCUUGGGGCUAAUACCCUCGAGGAAGGACAUCACCCACAGAAGAAGCACCGGCUAACUCCGUGCCAGCAGCCGCGGUAAUACGGAGGGUGCGAGCGUUAAUCGGAAUUACUGGGCGUAAAGCGCGCGUAGGCGGUCUGAUAAGCCGGUUGUGAAAGCCCCGGGCUCAACCUGGGAACGGCAUCCGGAACUGUCAGGCUAGAGUGCAGGAGAGGAAGGUAGAAUUCCCGGUGUAGCGGUGAAAUGCGUAGAGAUCGGGAGGAAUACCAGUGGCGAAGGCGGCCUUCUGGACUGACACUGACGCUGAGGUGCGAAAGCGUGGGUAGCAAAUAGGAUUAGAUACCCUUGUAGUC
rnacentral:rRNA from 1 species